CUGCUUUGAUACGAUAACUGACCAUGAUUUUUUGCUUUCUUUUUUUUUUUUUUUUUUAUUUCUUGAUAACACUUGUUUUCGCUUUGGUGAUUCUGUAUAUCAUCAUGUUAUCUAAAGUUAGGUUCACACUGCCGAUCAGAUCAACUCGAUGAUCCCGAUUGUCCAAAUUUCCACGACCAAGCUCAACCAAAUUCUUAAUCGGGCCUGUUUAUGACUUCUACCCCGACCGCCAUCCGACUGUACACGACCUUAACUCGACCAUUCACGACUCCUUAAAGACUCCAUCACGAAUCCAUCCCGACAACAAAAUGAAUACUUAUUCGAUAAUUCCGAUCAAAUCACGAUCUUUACACGAUCUUUACACGAUUUUCACUCGAAUAGCUAGACCAAAUCAACUAUUCACGAUCUCAGCCUAAUCUAGACCAGACCAGAUCGACCUGAUCGUAGGGAUAAUCGGGAAUUGGUCAGAUAUGCAUAGUAUAAAAACGUUCGAUUUUUUUUUAUUCCCCGCCGCUUCGAAAUGGGCAUUAAGUGUUACCCUUGUCCAUCCGUACGCACGUACGUCUCAAGAUGACGUUAUAUAUGCUAGCUGGGGCAUUAUCAGUGUCCCAUGAACACGUUCUCCGUUUAUUUGGUUAUAUUCAGUAGAUGGUCCGAGUAAAAUCAUACAUUUAAAAUAUCUACAUAGAAAUAAAGCAAUUGAAUUUGUGGACAAGGUUCAUCUUUGCUAGCAAAGGUUUACGAUCCACUUCCCUCCCUUCCACGUCGAGAGGAAGGAAGUGGAUCGUAACCCUUCGCUAGUGAAGAUAGGGCAAGGUGGUAAGAGCUCAGAGAGACAGGUUAAUAGCUGUGACAGAGCUUGUAGAGUGCAAAGAAAGCGAACAAGAUGGUGUAGACAGCAACGGACGCCCAGAAGUGUAGGUGAGACAGUGGCUGUCACGACGACCACUAUGUGGGUAGUAUCGCUUUUUUUGGAAAUGACCCCACAAGAGAUUU
rnacentral:lncRNA from 1 species